rnacentral:rRNA from 1 species
UACGUAGGGGGCAAGCGUUGUCCGGAUUUAUUGGGCGUAAAGAGCGUGUAGGCGGCCUGAAAGGUCAGCUGUGAAAACUCGAGGCUCAACCUCGAGACGUCGGUUGAAACCAUCUGGCUAGAGUCCGGAAGAGGAGAGUGGAAUUCCCGGUGUAGCGGUGAAAUGCGCAGAUAUCGGGAGGAACACCGGUGGCGAAGGCGGGUCUCUGGGCAGUAACUGACGCUGAGGAGCGAAAGCGUGGGGAGCGAACAGG